rnacentral:lncRNA from 1 species
GGAUUACAGGCGUGAGCCACCGCGCCCUGCCACAAGAGGGUAAGGAAACUGAAAUAUGACAAGGUUAAAUGAUUCAGAUGAGGGGCCGGAAAGCACGCCUCCCGAGACCCAUUCCUGGAAGCGGGUCUUUAAAGCUGCUCUCAGUUUAAAAUCAACCAAAUGCUCAGAUAUCAGAUGCGGAAACUGAGGCACAGGGAAUUUGAACAACUUGCUCAAGGUCAUAAAGCUAGAAGGAGGCACAGCCAAGCAUGGGCUUGUGUGACCUCAAAGCCUAUGUUCUCGCCACUGCUCUAAACUGUUUAUUCUGUUGGCUUGUCAUAAUGAUUGAAGACAAUGUAUAUAAAUCACAGAGGGUAGGACUCAGCUUGUAAUAUGUCCUCCAUACAUUUUAUCGAACAUUAUUAAUUAAUAAACAACAGAUAAAUAACA